GGAUCCCAUCAGAACUCCGAAGUUAAGCGUGCUUGGGCGAGAGUAGUACUAGGAUAGGUGACCUCCUGGGAUGUCCUCGUGUUGCAUUCCCC
rnacentral:rRNA from 1 species